rnacentral:rRNA from 1 species
GAGCGAGUCUACCUAGUAGCAAUAUUGGGUAAGUCGAGCGGCGUAAGGGGCAGUAAUACCUGGGAACGUACCCUGAGGUCGGGGAUAGCUGCUGGAAACGGCGAGUAAUACCCGAUGAUCUUGGAAAAGCAAAGGCUUGCCGCCUUAGGAGCGGCCCAGGCGAUAUUAGCUAGUUGGUGGGGUAAUGGCCUACCAAGGCAUAGAUGUCUAGCGGGUGUGAGAGCACGACCCGCGCCACUGGCACUGAGACACUGGCCAGACACCUACGGGUGGCUGCAGUCGAGAAUCUUCGGCAAUGAGCGCAAGCUUGACCGAGCGACGCCGCGUGCGGGAUGAAGGCCUUCGGGUUGUAAACCGCUUUGGUCCGAAAGAAAGGGUAAAACUUGAUCGAUCGGAGAAACAAGGACGGGCUAAGUUCGUGCCAGCAGCCGCGGUAAGACGAACCGUCCAAACGUUAUUCGGAAUCACUGGGCUUAAAGGGCGCGUAGGCGGCCGAGCGGGUCGUGGGUGAAAUCCCCCAGCUUAACUGGGGAACUGCUUACGAUACCACUGCGGCUCGAGGAAGGAAGGGGCAAUUGGAACUGUCGGUGGAGCGGUGAAAUGCGUUGAUAUCGACAGGAACGCCUGUGGCGAAAGCGAAUUGCUGGUCCUUUUCUGACGCUGAGGCGCGAAAGCCAGGGGAGCAAACGGGAUUAGAUACCCCGGUAGUCCUGGCCUUAAACGAUGAGAACUAGGUAGUGGGUCCGACCUGGGCACACUGCCGAAGCGAAAGUCUUAAGUUCUCCGCCUGGGGAGUAUGGUCGCAAGGCUGAAACUCAAAGGAAUUGACGGGGGCUCACACAAGCGGUGGAGCAUGUGGCUUAAUUCGAGGCUACGCGAAGAACCUUACCCAGGCUUGACAUGUCCGGAAGCCUGAAGAGAUUUGGGUGUGCCCGAAAGGGAGCCGGAACACAGGUGCCGCAUGGCUGUCGUCAGCUCGUGUCGUGAGAUGUUGGGUUAAGUCCCGCAACGAGCGCAACCCUUGUCGUUAAUUGCCAUCAUUUGGUUGGGCACUUUAACGAGACUGCCGGUGACAAACCGGAGGAAGGUGGGGAUGACGUCAAGUCCUCAUGGCCCUUAUGGGUAGGGCUUCACACGUCAUACAAUGGUCGGUACAGAGGGUUGCCAAGCCGCGAGGUGGAGCCAAUCCCAGAAAGCCGAUCGUAGUCCGGAUUGGAGGCUGCAACUCGCCUCCAUGAAGUCGGAAUCGCUAGUAAUCGCGGAUCAGCAUGUCGCGGUGAAUACGUUCCCGGGUCUUGUACACACCGCCCGUCACACCAUGGGAGCGGGUUCCGCCAGAAGUAGGUAGCCUAACCGCAAGGAGGGCGCUUACCACGGCGGGGUUCGUGACUGGGGUG